AUAGCUUAGUUGGAAGAGCACUUGCUUAGCAAGCAGGAAGCCCUGGGUUCCAUCCCAGU
rnacentral:tRNA from 1 species